GAUGAACGCUGGCGGCAUGCCUAUACAUGCAAGUCAAACGAGAGGAAGGAAAGCUUGCUUUUCUGAAUCUAGUGGCGAACGGGUGAGUAACACGUAGGUAACCUGCCCAUGUGCCCGGGAUAACUUCUGGAAACGGAUGCUAAAACCGGAUAGGUAGCAGACACGCAAUUGACGGCUAUUAAAGUGGCUAAGGCCAUGAACAUGGAUGGACUUGCGGUGCAUUAGCUAGUUGGUGAGGUAACGGCCCACCAAGGCGACGAUGCAUAGCCGGCCUGAGAGGGCGGACGGCCACAUUGGGACUGAGACACGGCCCAAACUCCUACGGGAGGCAGCAGUAGGGAAUUUUCGUCAAUGGGGGGAACCCUGAACGAGCAAUGCCGCGUGAGUGAGGAAGGUCUUCGGAUCGUAAAGCUCUGUUGUAAGAGGAAAACGACAUUCAUAGGGAAUGAUGAGUGAGUGAUGGUAUCUUACCAGAAAGUCACGGCUAACUACGUGCCAGCAGCCGCCGUAA
rnacentral:rRNA from 1 species